rnacentral:rRNA from 1 species
AAUUUUGGUCAAGGGGUGCAACCCUGACCCAGCAAUCCCUCGAGUGCGAUGAAGGACUCCGGGUUGUAAAGCACUUUUGUCAGGGAAGAAAAGGCUCUGGUUAAUACCUGGAGCUGCUGACGGUACCGGCAGAAUAAGCAUCGGCUAACUACGAGCCAGCAGCCGCGGUAAUACGUAGCGUGCCAGCGUUAAUCGGAAUUACUGGGCGUAAAGGGUGCGCAGGCGGUUUGGCAAGAAGGAUGUGAAAUCCCGGGGCUUAACCUCGGAACUGCAUUCUUAACUGCCAGGCUAGAGUAUGUCAGAGGGGGGUAGAAUUCCGCGUGUAGCAGUGAAAUGCGUAGAGAUGCGGAGGAAUACCGAUGGCGAAGGCAGCCCCCUGGGAUAAUACUGACGCUCAGGCACGAAAGCGUGGGGAGCAAAC